ACACAUGCAAGUCGAGGGGCAGCAUGGUCUUAGCUUGCUAAGGCCGAUGGCGACCGGCGCACGGGUGAGUAACACGUAUCCAACCUGCCGUCUACUCUUGGACAGCCUUCUGAAAGGAAGAUUAAUACAAGAUGGCAUCAUGAGUCCGCAUGUUCACAUGAUUAAAGGUAUUCCGGUAGACGAUGGGGAUGCGUUCCAUUAGAUAGUAGGCGGGGUAACGGCCCACCUAGUCUUCGAUGGAUAGGGGUUCUGAGAGGAAGGUCCCCCACAUUGGAACUGAGACACGGUCCAAACUCCUACGGGAGGCAGCAGUGAGGAAUAUUGGUCAAUGGGCGAGAGCCUGAACCAGCCAAGUAGCGUGAAGGAUGACUGCCCUAUGGGUUGUAAACUUCUUUUAUAAAGGAAUAAAGUCGGGUAUGCAUACCCGUUUGCAUGUACUUUAUGAAUAAGGAUCGGCUAACUCCGUGCCAGCAGCCGCGGUAAUACGGAGGAUCCGAGCGUUAUCCGGAUUUAUUGGGUUUAAAGGGAGCGUAGAUGGAUGUUUAAGUCAGUUGUGAAAGUUUGCGGCUCAACCGUAAAAUUGCAGUUGAUACUGGAUAUCUUGAGUGCAGUUGAGGCAGGCGGAAUUCGUGGUGUAGCGGUGAAAUGCUUAGAUAUCACGAAGAACUCCGAUUGCGAAGGCAGCCUGCUAAGCUGCAACUGACAUUGAGGCUCGAAAGUGUGGGUAUCAAACAGGAUUAGAUACCCUGGUAGUCCACACGGUAAACGAUGAAUACUCGCUGUUUGCGAUAUACAGCAAGCGG
rnacentral:rRNA from 1 species